CACAGUUCAGUGCUCAGUACUCUUCCAGACAUCACCCUAUUUAUCUCUUCAUCAGGCUUUUCACUUCUUAUCCUUUAUAAUAAACCAGUGAUUCCAAUUAACUCAGAAAGUGUCAACUUCUGUAUCUACAUCAAUGACACCAAAAUAUGCAUCUCUAGCCUGACAUAGCUCAAGCAGCUCCAGUGCAGGAGACAGAGGGAGCCUGGAAUCCAAAGAAGAGAGCUCCAACCAGCAUAGAGUUGUCAACAGUGCAAGCUGCUGAAAAGAGGACAAGGGAGAUAUUAUUCCUCCACGCCAACCAGCACGCACUUCUCAACCAGCCUUAUUGCCUAUAAACUACCGCUGUUUUGACUAUCAGCUAAAUGAUGAAAGCCUGAGAGAGGGCAUUUUAUUAGUGGCAUAGUCAGAUGCAGCUGUGCUCUAAGAACAUCCUCUGAAAAUACCUGGGAGAAACUAUUUCCUUCUCAUAGACAAUUGCUAAAAAUGGUCAUUCGUUGGCCAGGUCCACUAACAGUGCAUACGUUGAUCAGAGUUAUUUUGUUUGAAAUUAGUGUGCUGUACAGAAAGCUUUGUCUUACAUGAACCUGUGUUUUGAUAAAACAGAGACCUUGGGCAUUAGCAGAGAGGGGGAUGGGUGACAGUUUACCACUAACUUAAACAGAUUCAAAGGUAAACACCAUACUUUGUUAAUUUUCACAUUCAUUAAAGAUCUAAAUAUUGAGAAGUUUGCUUGAGGAUUAAGUGUCUUCCAACCAGGGGCACCAAGGUGAGG
rnacentral:antisense_RNA from 1 species